rnacentral:tRNA from 1 species
GCUGGAAUGGCUCAGUUGGUUAGAGCGUGUGGCUGUUAACCACGAGGUCGGAGGUUCAAGCCCUCCUUCUAGCG